AAAGCUUUCAUGAGUGAAAAUCUAUCAUUCUCAGAGUUACAAAAGUUUUAUUAUUCAUAAAUAUUCUCAUUCCUAUUAUGUCAUUUACUUAUAAAAGACUGCAGCCUCCAUCCUCGGUGUGUUUUCACUCUAUCUCUUGGAUCACUCCCUCUGGGGAAGGCAAGCCGCCGUGUUUGAGCAGUCUUACUAAGAGCCCUUUGUGGCCAUGUGAAGACAGAGCAAGAAGGCAGCCAUCUGCAAGCCAGGAAGAGAGCUCUCAAAUCACCUGAUCUUGGAUUUCAUAGCCUCCAGAACGGUGAGAAAUAAAUGCUAUUUAAGCCACCCAGUGUAUGGUAUUUGGUUAUGACAGCCCAAACUAAGAUACGACAUAAUUAGAAAAGCAGAGCAAAAGAAGACUGCAAAGAACUUAGAAUUUGCCAAUGUGAAAUACGU
rnacentral:lncRNA from 1 species